UACGUAGGGGGCAAGCGUUGUCCGGAUUUAUUGGGCGUAAAGGGUGCGUAGGCGGUCUCGCAAGUCUGGCGUGAAAGCCCAAGGCUCAGCCUUGGAAGUGCGCUCGAAACGGCGAGGCUGGAGUGCCGGAGGGGAGAGUGGAAUUCCCGGUGUAGCGGUGAAAUGCGCAGAUAUCAGGAAGAACACCAAUGGCGAAGGCAGCUCUCUGGGACGGUACUGACACUGAGACGCGAAAGCGUGGGGAGCGAACAGG
rnacentral:rRNA from 1 species